UAAAAUCUGUAAAAUAAGAUGAAGUACAUACAGGUUUAUAACUUGCUAUAUGCUCUAUAAGGCUACAUAUAGUUGAUUUUUCAAUAGCAUUUGAAGUGUUGGUCUAGCUGAGCUCUCAGUUACAACUUUGCUCUCCACUUGCCUUCUUUACCUAUGUUUGCAGCAGGAAAUGUGGUCUCUGUUUUCCACUGAUGUACUCAUAAUUUGGAUUUGCUCAGACUUCAACAAACUAACAUUUUCAUCGCUAACAGACUGAAAGUCCUCUAUGACUUUUUUCUCCACCUUUGUUUCUACCACAGAGAAGUCACUGAGAACCAAAUGUGGGAGAAGCAAGAGGAUUUAACUGUCAGGAAAACUUUGUUUCACAACAAAGCUUGGGACCUUCCUGCAGGUAGCAGCUUGCAGCUCUCCUAAACUGGAAGGGCAAGUCUGAACAAAGGAAAGAAAACCAGCUGAGUCACUGGGAAUGAAAGCAGUGACAGCACCACUGCUAUGAUAAGAUUUGAUGUAUCUGAUCAAUCACAGAUUCCCCCCUAGACCAGUACUGAUUCUUCUGCAAUGGUCAAGAUGCAAACUUCUACAAAAGCAUCAAGGGAAUUAUCCCUCCCAUAAAGGAGUUUGUUCUCUGCCACCUCUACUACUAUUUCCCAUUUUCUGUGGUACUGCAUAGUGCCCCUCUUAGGAUAAGACCAAAAGGGAAAGUAAAAAUAAAGGCUGAGAAACAAGAGGAGGAAAGAGAGAAUUAGUAAUUAAUAGGAGAAGAAAGAGAAAUAAUGGAGAUAGGAAAAUCCACUAACGUAAAUGGGCGAGCACAUACAUAAAUAGAAUUAAAAAUAUUAAAUAAUCCACUUGUGAAAUGGCAUCAACUCAGAAAUAAGGGCACAUGAGGUUUAGCUCUGCUUUCAGGUACUGCAGGUACCAGAAACAACUGGGUAUGAGGCAUUCCCAAGUUUUCCCUUCUGUUAUGCUUAUAUUUUCUGGUGGAUUAUGUAUAUGUUCAUAACUUUCUUACCCAAUAACCUCACAGCAGGUGCAGCUUCUGAGAGCACCAAAAUAGACCACAAUGUGUGUUUCUUUACUGCUGCAUCACCUGCAAGGAGCUAAUUGUGGAAAACUUGUCUGAACAGAGAAAAUAGACCUGGUUCUGAUUCCUCCCUUCUGUCCACACACGCUACAAUUUAACUGAAAGCAAAGCUCCAGUGCUUCACAAAAAGAGAACUGUGAAGUUGACAAUGGACCGAAACAUCACUAGCAGGAUGGAAAGAACAAAGACGAUGAGCUCCUGGCGAUUCUCCUGCAGGAUUCCUCUAGUCACAUAGUAUACACAGAACA